GCAUCCUCAACCCAGAUGGCUUCCUGGGCUACCCCUGUGCCUCCUACGAGGAGUUUCAGGAGAAUGGCUGUUUUCCUUGUCCAGUCACAGGAUGUCCCAAAAUGGGGCACUAUGCUGACCAAUUUCAGAGGAACACCAGCGCCGUGGGACAAACGUUUUUCCUGAACACAGGAGAGAGUGGUAACUUUACUAGUUGGAGAUACAGGGUAUCAGUCACACUGGCUGGAAAAAAGGAAAUGAGUGGGUCCAUCAGGAUUGCUUUAUAUGGAAGCAAUGGAA